rnacentral:tRNA from 1 species
GGGGCUGUAGCUCAGUGGUACAGCGCUUGCCUAGCAUGCAUGAGGCACUGGGUUCAAUCCUUAGCUUCA